rnacentral:rRNA from 1 species
UACGAAGGGUGCAAGCGUUAAUCGGAAUUACUGGGCGUAAAGCGUGCGCAGGCGGUUUGUUAAGUCUGCUGUGAAAUCCCCGAGCUCAACUUGGGAAUUGCAGUGGAUACUGGCAAGCUGGAGUACGGUAGAGGAAGGUGGAAUUCCCGGUGUAGCAGUGAAAUGCGUAGAGAUCGGGAGGAACACCUGUGGCGAAAGCGGCUCACUGGACAAUAACUGACGCUGAUGCACGAAAGCUAGGGGAGCAAACAGG